rnacentral:rRNA from 1 species
GACAGAGGGUGCAAACGUUGUUCGGAAUUACUGGGCGUAAAGCGAGUGUAGGCGGUUUCGUAAGUCGGAUGUGAAAGCCCCGGGCUCAACUCGGGAAGUGCACUCGAUACUGCGAGGCUAGAGUAUCGGAGAGGUUGGUGGAAUUCUCGGUGUAGAGGUGAAAUUCGUAGAUAUCGGGAGGAACACCGGUGGCGAAGGCGGCCAACUGGACGAAUACUGACGCUGAGACUCGAAAGCGUGGGGAGCAAACAGG